ACGCUAGCUACAGGCUUAACACAUGCAAGUCGAGGGGAAACGACAUCGAAAGCUUGCUUUUGAUGGGCGUCGACCGGCGCACGGGUGAGUAACGCGUAUCCAACCUGCCCACCACUUGGGGAUAACCUUGCGAAAGUAAGACUAAUACCCAAUGACGUCUCUAGAAGACAUCUGAAAGAGAUUAAAGAUUUAUCGGUGAUGGAUGGGGAUGCGUCUGAUUAGCUUGUUGGCGGGGUAACGGCCCACCAAGGCUACGAUCAGUAGGGGUUCUGAGAGGAAGGUCCCCCACAUUGGAACUGAGACACGGUCCAAACUCCUACGGGAGGCAGCAGUGAGGAAUAUUGGUCAAUGGACGAGAGUCUGAACCAGCCAAGUAGCGUGCAGGAUGACGGCCCUAUGGGUUGUAAACUGCUUUUAUAAGGGAAUAAAGUGAGUCUCGUGAGGCUUUUUGCAUGUACCUUAUGAAUAAGGACCGGCUAAUUCCGUGCCAGCAGCCGCGGUAAUACGGAAGGUCCGGGCGUUAUCCGGAUUUAUUGGGUUUAAAGGGAGCGUAGGCCGGAGAUUAAGCGUGUUGUGAAAUGUAGACGCUCAACGUCUGCACUGCAGCGCGAACUGGUUUCCUUGAGUACGCACAAAGUGGGCGGAAUUCGUGGUGUAGCGGUGAAAUGCUUAGAUAUCACGAAGAACUCCGAUUGCGAAGGCAGCUCACUGGAGCGCAACUGACGCUGAAGCUCGAAAGUGCGGGUAUCGAACAGGAUUAGAUACCCUGGUAGUCCGCACGGUAAACGAUGGAUGCCCGCUGUUGGCCUGAAUA
rnacentral:rRNA from 1 species